rnacentral:rRNA from 1 species
UACGUAGGGCGCGAGCGUGUCCGGAAUUAUUGGGCGUAAAGAGCUCGUAGGCGGCCUGUUGCGUCCGCUGUGAAAUCCCAGGGCUCAACCCCUGGGCGUGCAGUGGAUACGGGCAGGCUGGAGGCAGGCAGGGGGAGAACGGAAUUCCCGGUGUAGCGGUGAAAUGCGCAGAUAUCGGGAGGAACACCGGUGGCGAAGGCGGUUCUCUGG